UACGUAGGGUGCGAGCGUUGUCCGGAAUUACUGGGCGUAAAGAGCUCGUAGGUGGUUUGUCGCGUUGUCCGUGAAGUUCCCUGGCUUAACUGGGGGCGUGCGGGCGAUACGGGCAGACUGGAGUACUGCAGGGGAGACUGGAAUUCCUGGUGUAGCGGUGGAAUGCGCAGAUAUCAGGAGGAACACCGGUGGCGAAGGCGGGUCUCUGGGCAGUAACUGACGCUGAGGAGCGAAAGCGUGGGGAGCGAACAGG
rnacentral:rRNA from 1 species